CCUACGGGUCGCAGCAGUGAGGAAUAUUGGUCAAUGGCCGGAAGGCUGAACCAGCCAUGCCGCGUGAAGGUCAGUGCCCUAUGGGCGUUAAACUUCUUUUGUGCGGGAGCAAUAAUGGUCACGUGUGGCCAGACGAGAGUACCGUACGAAUAAGCAUCGGCUAACUCCGUUCCAGCAGCCGCGGUAAUACGGGGGAUGCAAGCGUUAUCCGGAUUUAUUGGGUUUAAAGGGUGCGUAGGCUGUGAGGUAAGUCAGCGGUGAAAUGCCCCCGCUCAACGGGGUGAAGUGCCAUUGAUACUGCCUGGCUGGAAUGCGGAUGCCGUGGGAGGAAUGUGUGGUGUAGCGGUGAAAUGCAUAGAUAUCACACAGAACACCGAUUGCGAAGGCAUCUCACGAAGCCGCGAUUGACGCUGAUGCACGAAAGCGUGGGUAUCAAACAGGAUUAGAUACCCUUGUAGUC
rnacentral:rRNA from 1 species